GGCAACGGGCUCUCAUCAUCCGGGAGCGGUGACGGCGCAAGUGCUGGAAGAGACUCUUGUGGAUCUGGUUCAGGAACCGGAAGCAGUGGCGGGGGUUGUGAUCCCUGAAAUGCAGCGUUCGGUUUGAGACAGUGACGGGAGCGCUUCAGGUGGCGGGAUGGACGCAUGAGGAGCUAUUAACGUCGUUAGCGGGCGUCUUCUAGUUGUUUCGGGCCGAUGUGUCCGGGAAGCGGAGGCGGCAGUAACCCGAUGUUUCCGGUAGUCAGUGGAAGCGGUAAUGGCGGCUGCACGGGCCCGUUCUGUAUGGGCGCUGGAAAUGGCGGCAGUGGAGUAGCCAGAAGUGGCGGUGGGAUGAUAGGCGGACCCAGGGGAGUGAGAGGAUUUAACCGACCCUAAAGCAAAACGGUUAUGAUUCAGAACAAGUGUUUGGAGUGUAGUGAAUUGCAUAGCCAGGCCAGCCAAGUUUUAUUCACUGUUCAGCAUCCCCAUGAUGUUUUAUAAACUCGCAUGUAAGAAUUCAAAAGUCGUUAAUAUACUGUUAUUAAACAGUUUUACCAUGUAUACUUCUAAUAGUUGUACAUUUUUAACAUAUUUAUUUCGAACAGUAGGGUAAUGUAACCCAUAACCCUUUGUAAGACCCGUCCCUUCUUGCAUUUGUGAUUUUUUUUUCUAUAUGUCAUCACGU